AAUCUUAUAGUUUAUAACAAAACUUUAAAUUGCAAAUUUAACAUUGAAAUUAGUUCUAAG
rnacentral:tRNA from 1 species